AUGCCCACAAAUUCGUUUUUUUUUUCAUUUCAACAAUUGUUCAAGAAUUUUAAAAAUGGUUUCCAAAUUAAAAAUAUUCAUGAAUUUCAAAAUGUUUCUGUAUUUUUAAAAAUAUUUAUGAAUUUGAAAAAUAUUCAUGGACUUGGAAAAUAUGGAUUUCAAAAAAAAAUGUUCCCAUAUUUUAAAAAUAUCCCGUAUUUUUUAAAUGGUUUACAAAUUACAACAAUUGUUCAUGAAUUCAAAAAUUUAAGAAAGAAAAACAAAAUGGAAAAGGGUAGAAAAGUAGGAAAAAGGAAAAUGAAAAAACCGAAAGAAACCGGGAGAAAGAAACACAGAAUAAAAGGAAAACCUGGUGCAUCGGGAGCACAUGCAUGA
rnacentral:rRNA from 1 species